rnacentral:rRNA from 1 species
CGGACGGGUGAGUAACGCGUGAGAAUCUGGCAAAAGGUUCGGGACAACAGUUGGAAACGACUGCUAAUACCGGAUGUGCCUGUGGGUGAAAGAUUAAUCGCCUUUUGAUGAGCUCGCGUCUGAUUAGCUAGCUGGUGUGGUAAGAGCGCACCAAGGCGACGAUCAGUAGCUGGUCUGAGAGGAUGACCAGUCACACUGGGACUGAGACACGGCCCAGACUCCUACGGGAGGCAGCAGUGGGGAAUUUUCCGCAAUGGGCGAAAGCCUGACGGAGCAAUACCGCGUGAGGGAGGAAGGCUCUUGGGUUGUAAACCUCUUUUCUCAGGGAAUAAGAAAGUGAAGGUACCUGAGGAAUCAGCAUCGGCUAACUCCGUGCCAGCAGCCGCGGUAAUACGGAGGAUGCAAGCGUUAUCCGGAAUGAUUGGGCGUAAAGCGUCCGCAGGUGGUUGCUCAAGUCUGCUGUCAAAGAGUCUGGCUCAACCAGAUAAAGGCAGUGGAAACUGAGAGACUAGAGUGCGGUAGGGGCAGAGGGAAUUCCUGGUGUAGCGGUGAAAUGCGUAGAGAUCAGGAAGAACACCGGUGGCGAAAGCGCUCUGCUGGACCGCAACUGACACUGAGGGACGAAAGCUAGGGGAGCGAAUGGGAUUAGAUACCCCAGUAGUC